rnacentral:rRNA from 1 species
CUACGUGCCAGCAGCCGCGGUAAUACGGAAGGUCCAGGCGUUAUCCGGAUUUAUUGGGUUUAAAGGGAGCGUAGGCUGUUGGUUAAGCGUGUUGUGAAAUGUAGAUGCUCAACAUCUGAAUUGCAGCGCGAACUGUCCGACUUGAGUGCGCGGAAAGCAGGCGGAAUUCGUUGUGUAGCGGUGAAAUGCUUAGAUAUGACGAAGAACUCCGAUUGCGGAGGCAGCUUGCUGUAGCGUAACUGACGCUGAAGCUCGAAAGUGCGGGUAUCGAACAGGAUUAGAUACCCUGGUAGUCCGCACGGUAAACGAUGGAUGCUCGCUGUGUGCUUAUUUUUAGUAUGCGGCUAAGGGAAACCAUUAAGCAUCCCACCUGGGGAGUACGCCGGCAACGGUGAAACUCAAAGGAAUUGACGGGGGCCCGCACAAGCGGAGGAACAUGUGGUUUAAUUCGAUGAUACGCGAGGAACCUUACCCGGGCUUGAACUGCCGG